UGGCGGGAGGAAUAAGUUACAAAUUUUUUUUAAAAUUACUUUUGUGUUAGGAAAGCACAAUAUAAAAACAAAACUUUUAAAAAAGCCAAAAUUUGAUAGUUAAUACUGAUGCUUCUAAUAUUAUAUAACAUGAUUCUUGACAUUUUUUUAAAUGCCAACUCUGCAGAUUAUAAACUCCUUCAACUUCAGAUUUUUAGUAGCAUGAGGAAUGGUUGUUCAUCAUUUAGAAUAUGGAAAGGGUGGUCAUAGAUCAUAACUGAUUGGUGCUUCGCUAAGUGAAACACUAUUUAAAGAUCAAUUUUAAUAUGAAUAAAGGGCGUUUUGAGGAAAAGAGUGGAUGCUGAAGAAAGAAGAUCUUACGUGUGACAUGUUUGUAAUCCAAAUUUUGAUUCAAGCCAUCUUUUAUAGAUAAUUGGUGGCCGGACACUUCUUUAUUGAACGUUCAUAAGGACUGGUCCAUUUACCACCGAGAACGUUACCCAGAGUGUUCACUGGGGACAGCCGAAGAGGAGGACAACACAACAGCCAAGCUUUACGCGGGAGUCGAACUCUUUAGUUUGUACAACCAGUCAGCCUUCGCUAACAACUAUGCCUUCCAGGAUGGCAUUUUUCAUUAUUUUAACCUU
rnacentral:lncRNA from 1 species